UCUACUUCAGUGCAGACCCCUCAGAUCCACAAAAGGCCUCCAAUCAUUGUGAGCUAUGGGCAGGACCAAACAUCUGGGGAUGGAUGGAGCGUCAAUCCAGAGCCUCUCAGCCAGUCUGGAAGGGUGACUCGGCUGAUAGAGAGAAAAAAUGAU